AAAGAGGGCGAAUAGCGUGCAUUAUGCAGGUGGCUCCAAUGCAAUUACAAGGGUCCUUAAAAGCUGAAGAGGGACUUGAAAGGAAGAGCUGACAAGAUGGCAAAAUGAGAAGGACACAUUUUGCUGAUGCUGCUGACUUAGAAGAUUGAGGAAUGUGUCAUGAAUCAAGGAAAACAGAGGAACUCUAGAAGUUGGAAUUUCUAGAAGCUGAAAAAUGUACCCUUGAUGUAUUUCUGCUUGGAAUAACGUUUAAGUAAUGUUGUGCCCCUCUCAGAAGAUCACAUUUGAAAGCACAUGAUGUCCAUCUGUCCCCACUGGCGAUAACAAUUUUGAAUACCCAGAGAAGAAGAUGUCUGAUUUCUCUACUGCACAAUUUACAAGUUUCCCCCACUGCAACUAUUAUGCAAUUUGCAGGAAACACUUUUAAGAUCCUCCUCCUCGACCAUAAUUAUGGACUUUUUUAACGUACAAUAUUUUCAUGCAUCCAGAAACCACAAUUAUGCAAAAAGGCAUACUCAGAGAAACAUCUCUCCAUCUCAUAUCCAUUCCACUCUGUUUCCCAUAACCUCUUCAAGUAUAGGUAAAGAAUGAGAGCUGCAAAGAGAUUCUGUAACUUUCUAAGGUUCAGCGAUAAGUCAUUGGUGGAACCCAGAUUCAAACCCAUGUAAUUUUUCAAGAGGAAAUUGAAGAUUUAUCUUUUUCAAAAUUUACCCAGGAAAGUAGACUUGAUGGUUCGUGGUUGUAGUUCAUGUCACUAUACAUGAAAAACAAAGACACUGGUUUCUAAGGCAAUAAUAAGAAGUCAUUCUCCGUAUGUCAAACAUUAUAAAAACCUGUAAUUUAAGGGGAUAAAGCAGAGGCCUGGAGGAGAAUAACAGAAUCUUAAGAAAAGUAAAAGUAGGUUGACCAUAUAAUUGUCCAUCCAUGAUCAUUUUGAGAGUAAAAGAACACUAAUAUUUAGAAUGAUAUUUACACAAUUCUAAGAUUUUGAAACAUUUGUUGAGAAACAAAUUUGGUUUUUAUAUUGAUGGACAUAUAAAAGAAUUCUAUUCAACAACUAUUUUCAAAAAUAAAAUUAUUUCUAAAAUAUAAAAAGUAUAAACUCAUAUUUUAUAAAAAAUGAAAAAUUCUUUACUGAUUAACUGAGUAUUAAAAGUAACAGCAGUAUAAUUAAUUUUUGGCUAAAAUGUAUUCAUGUACAUUAUAAGUAUCAUAACUUAUAAAAUGUCUCUAAUAUCAUGUCAAAGGUAUUUUUCUAAAGAAAUUAUUUUUAACCUGACAUUUUAAUUCUAUAUUUCACAAAAUUGCCUGCAUUAUUCUUAUUGUAUCAAAUGGUUAAUAAAUUUGAAAUUGUUGACGCUUUCAAUUGACCACUCUCUAAAUAUUUCUAAAUGACAAAACAGUAAGCUCUGAAAAAAAUCAGCCACGUAGCAAAAUUCUUCAUAAUAAUUCUUUGUCUUGAAAUGUGUAAAUAUUUUGGUGCAAAUGUUUUCAUAGAUAUUUUCAUUGCCUUCGUUCAGACUAACUUUCCUAAUCAAAUAUUUUUACAGUACAAAACUCACAAAUGUGUUAUCUCUGUUUAUGGUUCAUUUGAGUAUUUUACUAAGUGUAGGUGCUCCAAAGUAAAAGAUUUCAAUUUCAUUCUCUUCUUGUACAG
ensembl:lncRNA